UACAGAGGUCCCAAGCGUUUGUUCGGAUUCACUGGGCGUAAAGGGUGCGUAGGCGGCCGGGUAAGUCUGUUGUGAAAUCUCCGAGCUUAACUCGGAAACUGCAGUGGAUACUAUCCGGCUAGAGGAAUGGAGGGGAGACUGGAAUACUUGGUGUAGCAGUGAAAUGCGUAGAUAUCAAGUGGAACACCAGUGGCGAAGGCGAGUCUCUGGACAUUUCCUGACGCUGAGGCACGAAAGCCAGGGGAGCAAACGGG
rnacentral:rRNA from 1 species